CUUUCUCUUGACACUUAUCCUUCUCUUGGCUUUUGAAGUGGCUGCAAGGGAACUGCUUGACGUCACAGGUAAGUUUCAAUCUGGAUUCUUGCUUUUGGGAACUGCUUUGGCUUUAGGUUGGUCAGUCGUAUUGGCUUUUGGAUUCUAACCGUUCAUAUGUAGGAUUUUCUGAAAAAUUAUAUAACGAUUUCUGAAAAAACUUUAAUUCUAUAAAAAUUUAUUUUAAUAGAAUUCAAAUCAAUCGUUAAUAUUAAUUUAUAUCAAGAUAAAUAAGUUCAAAAUAGAACCCUAAAUGUUGAACUGAACUUAUCUACAAUAUGAACGGUUUGUGUCAUUAAAUGAACUCAAAAUAAAACUCAAAAUUUUUUGAGUUGCACCCAUACAACUUCAGAGAAGCCAGAUCCAUAUUAUAUAUAUGAACAUAAGAAUCUUGAUAUAUUAUCUUUUGGAAAGAGUUUUACUAGAGACAAUGAACAGUGGAUGGAUAAUGCAAAUUCACAUGUGGUGGUACCCACGUGUUUAUUAGCUCAUUGCCAAUGCACUGAACAAAAUAUAUAUUUUUUAUUUUUUUUAUUUUGAAAAUCAUGUCCAAUGUUCUCUUCUACUUUUUAUAUUUCGUGUUUGAUUGGCAACUAGAAAUGGUUAUAAGUUUAUAACACACAUAAUACUGUUCAUGCUUGGUAAUGUUAGAUUUUGUUAAAGUGUUUUUUGGAAAAGCAACCCUUGAAGUAUUUCUGAAAAUAUGCUUAAAUCGACCCUUCAAAAGAAAAAACAAAAGCAUUAAGUAAUUUUUUAAAGGUUUUCCAAAUAUUCACGUACAACGUUUUUCUAGAUAAAAAUUGACAAAAAGCUUCUAGAAAUUUUUCAAAACAUGCUCACUAUAUUCCAAAAGUGUGAAAUAUAAUAUAUCACACGAUUACACUCCCAUGGUAUAUUAUAUCCCCACCAGCAAACAUGGCCCCCUCUCAAUAUUCAUUCAAUGGCUAUGACCAAUCCUUUUUUUCUUAUCCCAAGCCAUAUCCUGAUAUCCUAACCCAAACAAACAUAGUAUAUGUAUUAUUACUUUUUNNNNNNNNNNNNNNNNNNNNNNNNNNNNNNNNNNNNNNNNNNNNNNNNNNNNNNNNNNNNNNNNNNNNNNNNNNNNNNNNNNNNNNNNNNNNNNNNNNNNAAUUCUUUACACUCUUUUAGUAUUUAAGGGAAAAGAUCUUUAAUAAAUUUGGCAGCCCAAUGCUGUAGCAUUAACAUCUAUCAUGUCCCUCUCUCCCAUCUUUAAAAUCUUUCAGUAUUUUAAAAAGACAUCUAUAUUAACCUUGUCAUUGGUCCGAAAAGUUGUGUUGCAUUAAAGCCUAUCAUGUCCUCUAUCUCCAUCUUUACAAUCUUUAGAAUUUCAGGAAAAAAUCCUUCAAUAAAUUUGGAAUUAGCCCAAUGUCGUGUAGCAUUAAAAUCUAUCAUGUCCCUCUCUCCCAACUUUAAAAUCUUUCGAUAUUUUAAAAACAUCCCUAUUAAAACUGGGCAUGGUUCAACAAAAAUCGGUGUAGCCAUUAAAUUCGGAUCAUGUUCACUUCUUCCCAUCUUUAUAAUCUUUUAGAUAUUUAAGGAAAGAUCCUUAAUAAAAUUGGCCAUUGGUCCAAAGUUGUGUUGCAUUAAAGCUAUCAUGCCCUUCUCUCCCAUCUUAACAAUCUUUUAGAUAUUUCAACGGAAAGAUCCUUAUUAAAUUUGGCAUUAGGCCCAAUGUCGUGUAGCAUUAAAAUCCUAUCAUGUCCCUCUCUCCCAUCUUUAAAAUAUUUUAAAUAUUUUAAGAAAACAUCCCUACUAAACUUGGCAUUGGUCCAAAAUCAUGUAGCAUUAAAUCCUAUCCUGUCACUUUCUCCCAUCUUUGAAAUCUCCCACGUAUUUUAUAGAAACAACCCUAAUAAACUUGGCAGUGAUUAGAAGAAGUCUGUAGCAUUAAAGUGUAUCAUAUCCAUCUCUUUUAAAGUAUAAUUUAUUUAUUUAUUUAUUUUAUUAAUUAAUUUAGUUAUCAAGUGUUACAUGGUGGGAGGUCUCAAAUUACUAUUUGUGGCUGAAGAUGGUACCUAGUGAUUCAAAACAUUGACCCAUGCCGAUGCCGUGAAUUGACUGCAAACGGAGGCCAAUUACCCACGUCCCACGUUAUCUUAGUCUUGGGACAUUUCUCAUCUAAACUAAAAAAUUGGAAUUUAAAUGGUGGAAAUUGUUUAUUAAAAAAAAUAAAUUUUUGGCCAAUUUUAUUAAAACGUUCAUUAAAAAAUAAAAGAUCUAGUAAAAAAGCCAAAAUUUUGGAGAUUUGUUAGGAAAAUAAUUUUGGGCCAAUUUUGAAGAAAAAUAAAAGAGUAAUCCUACAUCUUUUGAAGCCAGUCUAGUUGGAUAUGCUUAACUUAGUGAGGUGAUUAAUAUCUGAUAAUUUUUUUAUUCAAAAUCAUAAGAUUAAAUGGAAAAUUGACACCCAAAAUUCACUGCUUCAAUAUUAGGGAAGAAUGGUAAAAUAAAUUGCCACAUUGGUCCAUUUAUGAGGUCCUUUAGCGGGUUUACAAGCUUUCCCCUUGAAUUGGUCUGGGGCCCGAGGGGCAACCAUGUUUCAUGGAGGAGGGAGAGGACUGCACCUUUGUGUUACCAUUUGGAAAAAAAAAAAAAAUAUUAUUAUUUAUUUGAGAUUUUAAAAGCGUUCAAAAGGUGCUUACAAUGUGGCAAUGGGGUCCUUAUGAAAGGAACACGGUCUCUUACCCAACGGUCUGAAAUUUGUACCACGUAGUUGUGGCCUGGAAUGUUCGUGCGUCCCAUUUUUGGCACGAGCAUUCAGUGGCACUUUUCGCCAUGAUGGAGCAAACUGUUGACUGUUGAUCUGUACGAACGAAACUUCCGUCACCGAAAAAACUCAAUUAGGAUGGCUACGAAUAUAGAUGAAUCGAAUUAAUUAAACAAUUUUCAAUGUGGAAAAUUAAACAAACAAAUGAGAGAAUAAAAAACAAAAAUAAAAAAAAAAAUCAAAUUUUAUGUGUGUUCGACACUGUAUUAGGUACAGACUGUCAAACAAGUAAAGGUUCCACUAACAAACCAACGAUUGCCCCGAAGAAGAAGAGCCAAAGGAAAGAGAAAUGUUUGUUGAAAAACUCCUCUCCAAAGCCUCACCAAUAUCAACUAGCAAUUUUCCCCGACCCUAGGUAGACAACUCAAAACAAAAAACUCUCUCUCACAUAAAAAGAUUAAAGACUAACCAAAGUCCCCAAUUGGGGGGUCCAAGGGAAACUAAAAAAAAUUUCUUCAAAAACUUGAAGGUCAUCCAAGUCCCCAUAAAGAUCUUUCAAAGGAACUAGAAAUUUACCAAAGAUUAGAGAAUCUUCCAAAUUUAUAACCAAAAAAUCCUUCGUUAAAAACAAACAAUACCAAAAGUGUUUCUUACCAAACAAGCUCCUAAAACCAAUAAAGAAUUACAAAAAAAUAGAGUUUAGAAAUUCUAAAACGAGUUUAAUUAUUCAAAUCUUACCAAUCAAAACCAAUCUAAUUGUCAAUAUCUAAGUGUGAAGCUGAAAAGGCAAAAUUAUCUUACUUGUCUGAUUCUAAAUUAACAGAUGGUACCUUCUCUAGAUCAAAAUUGAAUUAUUGCUUUUGGGGUUUUCGCAAAACUGAGGAAAUUUUGUUCUAGUGGUUCUUUGUUUUUUUUUGGGACUUUACGUUCGAUUGAUAUUGAUAAUAUUUUCAUUGUGGUUUAGUGGUUUCUCUUAAUGGAGUAUAAAAUAAAAUUAUCGAUUUUAUUUUAUACACAUUUUUUUUUAAGAUACAUGUUUUUCUUUCUUUCAAGUACCAUUUUUUCUUUCUUCACUCGAUGCUUUUAUCGAUUUCGACGAGAAGUUACAAACAUUGCAUACAUUACUUUUUAGGCAACAUUUUUUAUGAAGUGUUAAUUUCGUUAGAAAGGAAAAGCUACUGAGCUGUAGUAGUUGUAUUUUUUAAUAUAUUGUAAUCAGAUGUUGCUAAAUAAAUGAUGCUUUAAAAUGUUUUGAGACAAAUGGUAUAUGAGAAGUUUUUAUCCGGAAAGAUUAGGUACGGAAAAAUCUAUUACUUUCUUGUAGUGAUUUCUUUUCUUUUUUAAGCAUUAUGUAGGGCUCCAUUUAAGAGUUCACUUAGGUCUCCAAAAACUUAGGACUUGCUCUCGAUUCAAUUCAUGUCUAAGUUAGUAAAUAAAGAGAUUACAUACACUGUUGGUUCACUGUAGAAACAAAUUGAAAAGUUUUCAUUUGUUCUGCACGAUCACUAUAUUUCAGGAGACAAACGUCUAAAAUAGUAAACACCUUAACGAUGGAAAAUUCUGUCUUUAAGGACAUAGUGCUAAACACUAGCCUUUGAUUAGUCUCCUUCGAAUUUCUCACUACAAUUUGUUUUAUACAAGGUAUAUCUUCUUCUGCAAUCAGUUAUUUGUGUUCAAACCACAUAAUCUGUUUCUGAUUUUGUUUCUAAAAGUAAUUGUUGUUUCCAAAAGAGUUUUUGGUUAUGUUUCUACAAAAUCAGAUUUUUUAAACAGUUUAGCUUCUGCAAAUUAAAUCUGUUUCUGUAAUUAUAUAUAUAUAUAUAUAUAUAUAUGUAUAUAUAUUUAUAUAUAUAUAUAUAUACACACACACACACAAAAAAAAAAGAAUUAAAAAGUAAAAGCUAAAAAUAAAAAUAGUAAUUUUCACACUUUUUUUUUCCUUCAAUUACACUCUAUUUUGUGUCUUUAUUUGGUAUAAGAUUAUCAAAAUACCCAAGUAUUUAUAUUUCUAAACUACUUUUCUCAAAAUAUUCUAAUUGCAUAGAAGGACAUUUAAGUAUUUUUGCCAAAUAAAAAAAAAGAAAUGGAAUUAGAGAAAAAAAGAAUGUAAAAAUCAUUACCUAAAUUAAUGAAAACAUGCUAAAAUGAAAAUUUUCUGAUGCCAUCUAUUACUUAAAAAAUAUAAUAUUCCGUUUGGAUAUGUGAAUUUCAAAUGCUAUUUAAUUUUUUUUAAAAGAAGAAUAUUUUAAUUACACGUAUUUCAAUUAACACUUAUAUUGGAAAAAGAGAGAGCGGAGUGAGAUGUGUGAAUUUGUCAAAUUACACUAAUUUUGAGUUAUUUAAAAUUCUUUUCAUUUACUAUUGAAAUUCAAAGGGUAAUUUUUCUCAAUCUUAAAUUUUUUUGCUCUAUUCGCCAUCAAAACAUAAUUUUUGCUCUAUUCACCAUCGAAACAUACUCGACGAAUUUGGAAGGAAAAUUUCAAAUUUUUUAUUUUUAAAGGGAAUCUAAGAUCCAUGAAGAAUGACUCAACGCGGAAUUGCUCUAGAAUGGUCCCCAUCAUAGAAGAGUGCACAUCAACCAAGUAAUCAAUUUCAUAUUUUUUAUUUUAUUUUACGGUUACUAUCAGUUUGGUUAUAAAUAGGGAAUCCCAAAAUCUUGUUAUUGUAUGACUAAGAGAAAAAUGGGUUCCAGGAAGUUGCUUGUUUUGGAGAUAUUUCUCUCGACUCUUAUACUUCUCUAUUCUUUUGAAGUGGCUGCAAGGGAACUUUCUUUUGGAGACGUCACACGUAAGUUUCAAUCUGGAUUCUUUCUUUUGGCAACUGCUUUGGGUCGGUUGGUCGGUCGUAUUAGAGUCUCUGGAAGUCAGUUAAGUAUAAAAAAAAAAAAAACUCAAAUUUGUUUUUAAUGGUUUAUAUUACAAACAUUGUGGCAAGAUAUUAUUCGCCUAACAUGCCAAGCAAGAAGCCCAUCAUAUCCAACAUGAUAUUAUACGAACUAGGCUUCUUUACGGAUCAUUUUUGGACUGUAAUUUAAGUAUUUUGAGUUAUUUCAAUGAUUCAAACCGUUUAUAUGUAAACCUCCUACAAAAUAUUAAUUCUGUAAAAAAUUAUUUUGAUUGGAUUCAAAUCAAUAGUUAAAUUUAUUUAAUCAAAAUAAGUGAACUCAAAAUUGAACCCCAAAUUUUGAACUGAACCUAUUUAUAAUAUGAACAAUUUGUAUCAUUAAAAUGAACUCAAAAUAAAAUCCGAAAUGCUUGAGUUGCAUCCGUACAACUUUAGAGAAGCCAGAUCUAUAUUAUAUAUACGAACAUAGGAACUUGAUAUAGUACUUUUUGGAAAGAGUUUUGGUGGAGACAAUGUAUAAUGGAUGAAAAAUGCAAAUUCAUAUGUGGUGGUACCUGCGUUUUUAUUGGCUCAUUACCAAUGCAUUAUACAAAAUGCAUUUCUUUUUCUUUUUUUUUUUGAAAAUCAUGACCAAUGUUCUCUUCUACUUUUUAUAUUUUGUGUUUCGUUGGCAACCAAAGAUCAAAAUUUCAUUUCGAGGGUUUGUUUCUGUUGGCAACGAAAACGUUUUGACUGUUUCGAUGGAAACAAAAUGAAUUUUUGUUCCUUGUUGGCAACUAAAAAUGGUUAUAUGUUUACAACACAUGAGAGAAAUGUUUCGACUGUUUCAAUGGAAAACAAACGAAAUUGUAUCCUGAUGACAACUAAAAAGGUUAUAUAUAUUUAUAACACAUGAGAGAAUACUGUGCAUGUUUGGUAAAACUUAAACAAGGCACGCCUCUUAGAUUUUGUUAAAAGAUUUUUGAAAAAGCAACCCUUGGAGUAUUUCUGAAAAUAUGCUUAAUUCCCCCCUCAGAAGCAAAAAACAAAAGCAUUGUUAAGUAAAUUUUUAAAGGUUUUUCCAACAUUCACGUACAAAUUUUUUCUAGAUUAAAAUUGACAAAAAGCUUCUAGAAAUUUUUUCAAACAUGCUAACUAUAUUCUAAAAAGUGUGAAAUAUAAUAUAUCACCCAAUUUACACUCUCAUAGUAUAUCAUAUCCCCACCGGCAAACAUGGUUACCUCUCAAUAUUCAUUCAAUGGCUAAGAUUAAUCCUUUUUUCCUUAUCCCAAGCCAUAUCCUAAGUUCUUAACCCAAACAAAUAUAGUAUAUAUAAUUUUACUUUUUAUUUAUCAUUUAUUUUAUUGCAUUACAUACAUAGUUAUCAGAACUGAACCGGCGAUUGAACUAAUUAAGGCAUUGGUUCAAUGAUUUACUGAUUCAACCGUGAUUCAACCGGUUAUAUAAUAAAUAAAUAUUUAAAUAAAAAUAAUUAUUAAAAAAUUAUAAUGGGUAAAAUAUACAUUUUUUAUGCAAUAAUCAACUAAUAUAAAUAAAUAUAUCAAUAACAAGGUACAAAAAUAUAUAAUUAAUAAAAUAUUUAAGAGGACUUUUUCGUCUUCAUUAAUAUUUUAACUAUUACUUAUUGAUAUUCUUUAUAUUUAAAAGAAAAACGUAAUCUUGCAAUAAUUGUAUAUUAGAUAAAAUGUGCAUUAUUUGUAUGAUCUUUUUUUUUUUAUUUUUUAUUACUAUACACUCCUAUUUUUUUAUCUUUAUUUUUAAUUUAGUUUAUGUUUUUCAUUGAAUUAAUUUGGAUAAACUAUCCGAUAUAUUUAUUAUAAUAAUUAUGUUUCUUUUUUUUUCCUUCUCUUGACUUUCAUUGAAGAUUUUACUUUUUUUAUCAAAAAUCCAUAAAAGACAUUUCUUUUUAAAAAAAAAAUGGUUUUAAAAAAUAAUAUUAUAAAUCUUGUACAAUUUUUAUUUUUUUUAAACUUUUUUAAAAACCGGUCGUUCACUAAAUCCGGCUGUUCACUAUUUUUUCAAAAAAAUCGGCCAUUCAUCCGGUUUCACAUGUAUUUUUGGUAAAUUAAUUAACUGUACUGAUUCAUGUCCGAUUUUCGAUUCAACCGGUUGAACUGACCGAUUCAUACGAUUCUGAUAACUAUGAUUACAUAUUCCUUACCUCUUGAAUCCCCUCAUUUUAUAUUCAGACAGUCAACAGACCCUAUCGUAUUCCCCUAAAUGCCAGCAAGAAGCCCAUCAUAAUAUAUUAUAUGGACUAGGAUUCUCUACAGAUCAUAUUUUCCCGUAUUGGGGUGAAAGGUUAAAUAUUUUUCAAUUAUUUUAAUAAUUAAAUCAUUUAUAUGUAGACAUCCUAUAAACUUUAAUCAUGUAAAAAACACACGUUUGAUAAAAUUUCAAUUAAAAGUUAUAUAAUUUAUAUCAUGAUAAAUUAGCCUCAAAAUAGAAACCAACCUAUCUUCCCUUUCUAAUGCUCAACCAGGACGAAAAUCCAAGCUGAGCUCUUCUCCCAAAUUUGAAGCAAGCAUAGGCAACCAAUCCAUCAUACUCAUGGUUCACUCCAUCAAACACUAAUCUCUCCAAGUCAAGGCCCCUGUCAUUGGAGGAGGAAUAAAUUGCAGCAAUGCAUGGCAAGUCAUUGCAAUAACCUCGCGUACACCGGCUUAAAAGUACGCCUCGAGCACUUAGAUUUCUCUGCCUUUCCACACUUCUUCGCCCGAUCUCAAGUGACCAACUCACCGGUACCAUCCCCCCAUCCGUAUGACUCCUUACAAAACUCCAAUACUUGAUCUCUCCACAAAUUCUCUCUCGGCACAAUACCACUUUCUGGUCUAAUCUUUCCAUGUUUUUGAGCUUGAUUUCUCACGAACAUGAUAACCGGUGAGCUUGAAAUUCCGCGUUGUUUCCAAAUGUGCCACGGAAUCAGCCAAAACCGGGCUAAUAGUCUCCAGAGAAUUCUCCUUCAAGAUACGAACCUUAGUGGCUAUAUUCCUUCGAAUUAGGUUUGGGGGGCAAAAAAUUUGACCUCUCAUUGCUUUUGAUGGAAGUCAUUUUUUCGGUCCAAUUCCUUCUUCUUUGGGCAAUUUAGUGGAGUUAACGGCUUUACGGCUAGCUGCAAACCUCUUUCUGGGAAAAUUCCUUGAGUCUUGUUCUUUAAGCAGUUAACCGUCUUCGCUUGUUUAUAACCGAUUUAUCCGGAUUCCGUCCCUCAAGAAAUGGAAACUGUCGUCAUUGGGAGUUCUUCAUCUGGCAGGAGAACAACUUCACUGGCCAAUUGCCUCAACAAUGUGUCAAAGUGGAAAACUUGUGAUUUUCAGUGCAGCUUAUACCAAUUUUACCGGUCCUAUCCCAAGGAGCUAAGAACUUGCUCAACUUAUUCAGGGUCCGGUUUGAAUAUAACCAACUAGCAUGGCAUUUGGAUCAAGAGUUCGUAGUUUAUCCAGUCUUACUUACCUGGACUUGAGCUACAACCAGCUGUCAAGGUAAAUACGCUUCAAUGGGGGCAAUGUCGUAAUUUGACACUGCUAACACUUGCAGGAAUAUAAUUGCAGGGGAAUCCCAAAUGAAUACUUCAGUUAACCAACUCCAAGUAGUCCUGACCUGUCCAUUCUAAUCACUUUAUGGGAAAAUACCCCACAAACUUGGAAAAUUGUCGGAAUUAGACUCCUUAAGCUUGCAGAACAAUAUUUUUUCAGGUCAAUGACCGUCAGGCAUCGGACAACUAUCCAUUGGAAAUUCUAGACCUGUCAUUUAACAAGUUAAGUGGACCAAUUCCAAUCAGAUUGGGUACUGUUUCAAGGCUACAUUUUUGAGUUGGAGCAAGAAUAAGCUUAAAUGCUUCCAUCCCAACCUGAGAUUGGUUAUCUUGUAACUUUGCAAACCUUUACUUGAUUUGAGUUACAAUCACUUACUGGAGAGAUACCACCACAAUUGGGAAAACUUCCUAGCCUAGGAAAAAUUGAACCUCUCCCAUAACAACUUUUUCAAUACCGUACCCAGUUCUUUAGGUGACAUGGUGAGCUUGGUGACCAUUGACCUGUCCUACAAUGAUCUGGAGGGUCCUCUUCCUAAUACCGACGCCUUUCGUUCGUUUUCCUCCACAAUCAUUCGCGAAUAACAAAGAUUUAUGUGGUAAAUCCAAGGAUUGAGGGCAUGUAACACAUCAUCUCCGAAAGUAACAAGCAAAAGAAAGAGAAUUCCUCUCCUGAUAAUUAUUAUCAUAACUUAUCGUUUCCCUUCUUGUUUUUCGUCUCCUUUGUGGUUGUUUUCUUGCACUUGUCACCGAGAUGCGAAAUGAAUGCUCUGGAAUUUGGGUCCAGGAAAGGAAAAAAAUCUCUUUUCAUUUGGAAUUUUAAUGGGAGAAUGAUUUACGAAGACAUAAUCUAUGCCACAAAGAUUUAAGGAUGAAUAUUGCAAUUGGGGUGGGAGGGUCAGCGAGAGUUUAUAAGGCUAUGUUACCGAGUGGACAGGUCGUGGCAGUGAAGCUAACUCUAGAACUGAAAGCAUGGAGUAUGGACAGAACUUUCGAAAAUGAGAUAAGAACUUUGACAGAAACAGGCACGAACAUUGUGAAACUUAUGCCUUUUGUUCUCAUGAAAGGCAACAUUUUUUGGUUAGCGAGUUCAUGGAACAAAGGGAGCUUGGCAAGUGUUCUAAUUGUCGAUAAAGAAGCACGGAGUUAGAUUGGUUGAAGAGGGUGGAAUAUUAUUCAAGGUGUUGGCUAAAUGCAUUGUAUUACCUGCAUCUAGUUGCACGCAGUUUUUUUUUUUUUUUUCUCCAAUAAUUUCACCGCACAUAUCGAGCAGAAUGUUUUGUUGAACUCAGAAUUGGAGGCCUCCCAUGUCUCAGAUUUUGGCACUGCUAGUUUUUUGAAGCGUGAAGCCUCAAUUUGGCUGCAGUUGCGGCACAUAUGAUACAUCGCGCAGGUGGACAUUUUAUUAGAUUUAUAUGUUUUUAGUUUCAUUUAAUUUAUCGAAACGAGAAAAAUAUCCUUUUAAUUUUAAUAGAAUUUGUGGACAAUAGACAGCUCAAAAGAGUUUUCACGAAUAAUUUUUAAAACUAGUUUGUCAAAGAAUGUAGUGCUAUGGAUAAUUAGUUAAUAGAGUUACACAUUGUUGUCUAUGAGUCUCGGGGCUUUAUUUCAAGCUUAAUUUGAAAUUUUAAUGAGUUUAAAAACUUGUUCAACCUAGUUGGGAUAUUAGUCAAUUCAAUUUGGAAACAAUCUCCUAAUAAGUCAAUUUGAGUAAAUCACAGGUUAUAGGUUGGGUUGUUUUAAUUUUAUCUAGGAUAGCUUGUAGACUAAGCUGAGAAGAGCUACGAGAAAACUGACUAUUCCAACAUAUAUUCAGCAUUGGUUGUUUAGGUAAUAGGUGAUUGCAAUUGGAUUUUAAUUAACGAGCUAAACACAAAUGAACUUGACUAUUUUGUUCAUUUUACACCCAAUGCUUGCACCUUCUUUGAAGAUCCAUUUCGUCAGUGCAGAAUUGGCAAUUUGAAUUUUAGCCUCGAGUUAAUGUUUUUUCCUUAUUUUUUUCAUUCCUUUUGCUCUCAGAUUGUCGUAUACAAUUGCGGUGACAGAAAAAAUUCGAUGUGUAGCUUUGGGGUCAUUGACACUUGAGUUUUGAAGGAAUGGGCCUCAUCCAGGGGAGCCUUAUUUCCACCCCUAACUCUUAGUGGAUCAAUGCAUUCAACUUGAAGAUGUGUUUAGAUCCUCGCCUCUCUCCUCCUACCAAAAAGAUUGGCACAUGAACUCACCCCCAUUGUCAAUCUUGCAAUAUGGUGCUUGCGUGCUGAUCCACGUUCUAGGCCUUCCAAGAGCUGCCUUAAACUCAAGGCUUGAAAUCAAGGCUGGUUAUGACUAGAGAAAUAUAGCGUGUAUGAGAAUGUAACUAUGUAUGUAUUUGAAUAUCUAAGAAUCACAGCACCAAAAGAAAAAUGUGUAACUAUGCUAUUAAUGGGAUGUUGGUGUUAUUCAAUCCUUUGAUUGUGUGAUUUUAUUCAAUCUCCACCUAUAAAUAGAUAUGUAUUUUAUAUAUUAGACAUAUGAUGUAAUAAAAUGUGAUUAUCAACGAGAAAAAGAGUCCUUAUGGAAUUUGUGCUCAUAGGUAAAUGUUGAAAUAAAGGUUUAUUUGAGUUUUUAUGAUGAUUACAAAUGUUAAUAAUAAGUCAAGUCUAAAACCAUGGUUGAAAAUCACAUUAAAUAACUUAGAUAUACAAGGACCAAAUCAGUUAGUUCAUUUCCACAAAGACAAACAACAGUGGUCUAAAACAAUCUUACAUGUGAGAAAAGAAAGAUGUUGAGCUCUUUACAAGUCACAUUCAACGUCAUUGUGCAUACAAAAGAGGUAGAAAAGAUAAACCAACUCUCAAACUCAAAAUGGAUAGUUAACGGACUUAACUGAUAAAAUGACAUAAUACAAACUGCUAUUGUCACAAGUUCGAUCGACCGAACUUCAUCAAGUCAUCUCUUAAUAGAUAUGAUCAUUGAAAGCAUAGUUUAAAUACGACUGAAGUUCACAUUUGGUCGACCGAAGUUGAAAGAUGCACAACCGAAGUUGAAAUAGUGAACAAGGAUUCUCAUUGGAAUAACAGUUAAGACACGACCGAAGUUUACAUUUGGUCGAUCGAAGUGUCGACCAAAGUAUGUAAAUCCAAAAUAGAGCAACAUAAGUGAUCUCUGGAAUUGAAGAACAGUGUCGACUGAAUUUCAAGUUCGGUCGAGCGAAAGUGGAAAAGCCCUCGAUCGAAGUUUUAAAUUCCUCAGCAAACAAAGUAUGCAAGCCAUUGGAAUUUCUCUCAUCUCCUUUACAUUACUUAUAUACUUGCUAUUACUAGGAAUGCACUGUUUGUAUAAGUUUUAAAUAAGAAAUUUUAAUUGGCUAUUAAUCCUAAGCAAACCCACUUCACCACCUCAUAAUGUAUUUUGAGUUUUUAAUAAACGAACUUUGAUAUUUGAAGAAUUCAUUCAUAUAGUAUUUGAUGAAUUUAAUGAUCUAUUCUUCAAAAUUGCUUCAAGGAAUGCAGGAAUCGAAGAAAGCAUGGAAAAUUAAAAUUACUCAAGAAAAUUAAGAGAUUUAAGUAGAAGCCAGUGAGGACAUACAACUAGAAGUUGUCCUACCUCAGCUAGAAAAUCAAAAACAAGAUGGUGAAAGUUUAAAUCUUCCAAAAGAAUAGAGAUUCGUUCACAACCAUCCAACAACUCUCAUUAUUGGCAAUCCAUCAAGAGAGAUAACUACUAAAAACUCUAUAAGAAAUAUUUAUAAAAAUCUUGCAUUCUUAUCACUAAUAGAACCUAAAAUUUUUCAUAAAGCCGAAUUUGAUGAAUAUUGGCUUUUACCAAUGCAAGAAGAACUUAAUUAAUUUAAAAUAAAUAAACUUUGGAUACUAGUACCUGGACCAAUCAAUCACCCCAUAAUAGGUACUAAAUGAGAGUUUAGAAACAAACUAGAUGAAUCUGGGAUCAUUGUUAGAAAUAAAGUUAGACUCAUAGUGUAAGGUUCCAAUUUGUUUUUUAAAUACAUGACGUAAUUAGGGCACACAUGUGAUGUCAUCACACUACAAGUAUACACACACACACACACACACACACAUAUAUAUAUAUAUUUAUUUAUAUAUGUGUCUUUAUAUAAGUAUAUUUAUAUUAGAAGAUAAAGUUGAAUUGUUUUAUUUGGGCUUGUAAGUGGAGCGUGAGGAGCGUGUAAAUGGCUUAACCACAGAUGGAUUUUGAUUUUGAUUUAUUGAUGGGAUAAACUAAGCCCAAGGGCCUAAGGAGGGCAUUUGUGUUAUUUCAUUUUCGUGACCUAACGUAAAUAAUCUUCCCAAUAUUUGUGUUUAGAUUGUUUAUUUUUUUCUCUUCUUCUUCCUCUUCUUUCUUUCCUUCUCUCUUUCUAGAGUUGUGAGCAUUUGAGCUUAGAAUCUAGGUUAUGAGGUGUGAUUUGAGUGGUGAUCAUUUGGAGAAACAUCUACUACUUCGACGGAGCUUUAUUUUGACACUAGAAGAUUUGAGAUUGGAGGAAUUCAGAAUUUGGCAUCACUAUUAAUUGUAGAUCUUUUUUGUUGCUUGGAUUUGAGGUAAAAGGUUUUUUUUUUGUGGGGGUUUUAAUCUUAGAUUUAUUGUUAUAGGCUUGAAUAAAGUCCUAUUGCUGAUUUUGAGUAUUGAACUUGAAAUGAAAACUGGUUUGUUAUGGAAAUUGUAGGUUUAUUGUUGGAAUUUUUCAUUGGAUUAUUAUAAAUGGCUUAUAUAAGCCUAUAUUUUAUAAGAUUUUUAUUUUUAGUGUUUAAACUAUAAAUGAAAGAUUUGGUUAUAUAAAAAAAGUUGGAUUCCGUAGAUCAAGUGUCGACACGUGUUGUUUUCAAGUGUCAACACCUGACGAAGAAGAAAGAAAAUUUGACUAUUGGUCCCAGGUAUCGACAUUUGAAACUAGUGUCGAUACUUUUGAAUAGUAAACUUAAAAUUUUGACUUCAACCUAAGGGUUGUCGACACUUUUGAAUAGUAAUAAACAAUUGGAGUUUUUCCUAGUUUUACCUUGAGUAUGAUGAUAUUUUGUAUAAUAUAUUGUUGCAUUGAAAUUUUUGAUAAUACAUGUGCGUUGCGGGAUUUGAAUAAUGUGAUUUGGGGGGGGGGGUACUUAAAAUUGGUGACAUUUUAUAUGAUUGAGUAUGAUAAUUGUUUCAGAACAAAAUAUGAGAAUGAUUUCAAUAAUAACUUAUUAUUAUUGACGAUUUUAAAUGCUUGUAGAGUAUGUUGUUGCAUUUAAAGUUUGAUAUAUAACAUGAACGUAUGAUUGAACUUGUGAAAAAUAUAAAACUUAUAGGUGCAUGGAGAUUUAAAAAUAGUUUGGGAAUGAUACGUUAGGAUGUAUCAAAAAUUAGAUGACAACGAUACAGAGGAAAUGUCAUAGCUCACGAUGAAAGCCCAGGAAGUUGACAAAAUAAAAGUUCUAGAUCGCAACGAUACAGAGGGAAUGUCAUAGUGAAAGCCCGAACAGUUGAUAAAAUAAAAGUCCUAGAUGUCAACAAUACGGAGGGAAUGUCAUAACCCACGAUGAAAGCCCGCGAAGUUAACGAAUGUUAUCUCAUGUACUUAGUGCAUAAUGAGGUUGGUUAUAUAUUAACCUAAGAAUUGAAUUGAAUUUUUGAGAAGACUCGGGAACACGGGAAAAAUGUUGGAUGUGAAAAAUCAUGGAUUUGAAUCAAAAGUAUAUUUUGAUAUGAAUGAAAAUAUAUUUUGUUGCUCAUAUUUUCAUUGUAGAGCUAUAUAUCACAGUUUUUGGGCUUGAGACAUAAGUACCUACUAAUUGUUAAAUCCCUUUUCAAGCAGUGGUUAACUCACCUUACUAUACAAUAAAUUUUAGAUACCGAGGGUUAUCUUGAGUCGUAAAGCAUUUGGAUUGUUCGUAUAUUGUUAUUUUAUUUGUGCAUAUAUAACAUGUAUUUUUGGGAAUUGUAAUUAUUCUUAUUGGCCCGAGUGUGGCAUUGUCCAUUAAAAUAUCACUUCUCGUUUGUAGUUGAUAGUUUAUGGAGAGCUGGUCCUACGUGUUAGGGAUAGAGGUCCCAUACUCUGAUGUGUAAAACUAGUGUAUUGCCAGACUGUUUCUUUAGGUUUGACUUUUCAUACAUAUUGAGUUAAUUUGCUUAUGUGGUCGAUCUAGGCUGUGACCGGCGGCAUACCUAUAGCACGAGGGGUAUCGUCACAAGGAAUGAAUAUAUUUGAUAAUUCAUUUCACGAUCCUCCCCGAUCGCUAAAUAAAUUACGGAUAAUAUUGAAUGGCUACUAGAUUGCAUCUGCUGCUAUAUGAACUUCAUAACGUAUAACCUGUAAAUUGGUCUAUAAAUAUGUCUGUGUGGUUUUGGGGAAUGUAUCCAUUACCUUGCGGAAGGUGUAUCUGUUUGCACCAACUUCCAGGCUUUUUGACGAAUCAGGAAUUUCCGAACCACGUAUAUAGCUUUUUAAAGCCUCUAUGAAUUAAAGAAAACUCCAAGGCUUGGUGUGAAAGACUAAGUGAGUUUUUUAAUGAAAUGAUUUUAUUCAAGAAAAAACAAAGUAAAGCCUUAUUCUUACAAAUUAAAAAUAAAGGACAUACUUAUUGGGCAAAUAAUGUAGAUGACAUUAUAUUUGGUGCUACUAUGAUAUUAUGUGCAAGAUUUUACAUAGUGUGCGCGAGUUCAACUUCUUUCCUUAACUACAAAAUCAAGCAUCAAGUGGAUAAAUUAUACAAACCAACCAAAAUAUAAUAAAUGAUUGAUCAAAUGUUUCAACCAUCAGCAUAUGAGAGCAUUAGCUACCCCCGAUUAGCACAUCUAUAACUGACAAGACACAACGCUAAAAACUGAGAUGAAAAACUCUAUUGAGGUAUCAUUGGAUCUCUACUUAUUUAACUGAAGUAGACCCGAUAUCCAUGCUUAGUGUAAUGCAUAUGUGCUAGAUUUCAAUCAUGGCCCUAAAGGAAUCACAUCUAUUGGCCAUCAAUCUAUUUAAAUAUGUUAUAGAUAUGCAAAAGCUAGUAUAUUUUAUCUAAGAGGAUUUGCCUUUGAUUUGAAGGAUAAUCAGGACAGACUAUGGCGGUAUGCAAAAGUAGAACAAAAAAGCACAAAUGGGACUUUUUAAUUUCUAGGACAAUCCCUAAUUUCUUAUAUUAGCAAGAAACAAAAUUCCAUCAAACUAUUAACCGCCAUGCUGAUAGUGGCCGCCAAAAGUUGUUGUGCUCAAUUCUUGUAGAUAAAAACAAAUAAAUGGGGGAAUAUAAUUUAUAUUUUGAUUAUAUUUCAAUCAAUUGUGAUGAUACAAGUGCUAUAAUGUUGUCUAAGAAUCCCAUAUAACAUUCUAGAACAAAGCACAAUGAGAUUCGAUAUCAUUUUCUAAGAGAUCACAUCCAAAAAAGGAAUAUUGAACUUAUAUAUAUGCACACCGAUAAGCAAUAGGCAGAUAUUUUUAUAAAAUCACUUGAUAAGAAAGAUUUUAUUUCAUGAGACGUGAACUUAAUAUGUCUCAACCAAUGUGAAUAUAUUUUGAUUUCUUAAUUAAAUUCAUAAUACUUGAGUUAGUAGGAAUUGAGAAAGAAUAGUUUAAAUCAAAAUUUAUUCUAUAUGAAUAAAUGUUAUAUUUGAUCUAAUAUAAGUUUAUUGAUCGACAAAAAUGUGCAUAGAAGUCUCAAAUUUUGAGAUACAUGAAAUUGAUUCAUAGAAUUAUAUUUUAUAGUUGUUUUAUGUAAGUGUGACUUGUGUGAAGAAAAAAAAUGAGCAGUAAGAUCAAACUUAAGUCAAAAUUCCUUACUGUCAAAUUUUGCAGAUAUAGUAGGAACUUCAUUUGAUCGAACUUGAAGUUUGGUUGAUCGAAGUUGCUAAAUUAAAAGGUCAUGUAUACAUUAAAAAGAACAUUAAUUGAGUCCUAGAAACCCUAUUUCUCUUAAAUACUAAUAUCUUAUAAACACUUAUCUAUUACUCUCUCUCUUUACCUCACUAAAGAAAACACAACCCAUACAAUUCUCUCAAAAUGUUUCAUCAAAUUAGUGUUCUUCAACUUCCAAUUUUCCUGAUUCACUCAACCUCUUGGAAGUUCGAUCGACAAAUCGCAAAAAUAUUGUUGACCGAAUUCACAACUUUGAUCUACUGAAGUAGCAGAAACUACGGGAUAAGAGGGAGGGAUAGAGUUUCAAAUGUUUUCAAGCUUCAAUUUCUUACCCUUUUUAGCUUCUAUCAGAUUCCUCGAGGACAUCUAUCUCUUUUAUCUCAUUAUAAAUAAACCCUAUACCUAUUCCUUAUCAUCAUAUCAAAAUCUCUCAAACCCUAGAUCAAAAGUCUAUGAUUUUUCAGACCAUGAUGCAUCCGAGAACCAAGCACGCAUCGAACGAUCCAAGAGGUGAGGAUACCAAUCCUAAACCUGAAAUGGAGUUCAACCCACAACUAUUCAAGAACAGGAAAAUCCAAAAGACAUGGCUAUCCGAGUUCAAAGAAAGGCCAAUCAUCACGGGAAGGAAAUUUAAGAAAAAUUUCCCACUCAAGUACUACAAGAAAAUGUUGGUGCCAUUGGAACCUCUUGAUUGGAAUGGAUGGCAUCCUCUUCCAACGGACAUGUACUCAAACUUGGUAAGGGUUUUCUACUGCAACUGAGAAGUAGGAAACCUAGAUAAUAUUGUGUACACAAUUGACUCAAAUGUUAGAGGGAAAUAUAUAGUCCUCAAUCCCACGAUCUUAUCUGAGAUCACAGGGAUUGUUAAUGCUAGGGACUACAUCUUUUUCAACAAGUCAAGCCAACUUGAUCAAUAUGUGAGUUAAAAACAUAUGAAUAAAAUGAUCUCCAUAAAUGGAAUAUUAGAAGCCACACAAACCAAGGAUAUGAUAAAGGAAUUCAGACUAUUCCAUACAUCACUUACAAUAUAAUUUCUAAGAAGAGAUAUUAUAAUCAAGUGACAACUACGAUAGAAGAGCCUCAUAAUCUAAACUAUAUAAUUCUAAAUGAGAUUGCUAAUGUGAGAAACCAUAGUAGUCGAGCCCUACAUUUUGGUGCUCUCUUGACUAAAAUUUUCAAACACUUUAGAGUCAAGUUUAACAACCAAAUCAAUCAAUAUAUAGGUGGACGUUUUCCUAAACAAAUGAUAAAAAGAGAGACAAGUGUGUUCUCCUCCGAUAAGGAAGAAGAAGAAAGAAGUCACAGUGAUAUGGAGGUUGCAGGAAACUUUGAGGAUCUUCCCCCACAAACCGAGGAAACUUAUGAGGAACUAAGCACUCAAGUGUUCCAACUCCAAAUACAAGAAAAGGAAACGAUGCAGUGGGAGAAUCUUAUGCAAGAAAGGCUUUCAUCGCAAUACGUGCAUUCGACAUGAUUCUUGGAGUACUUUGGAAAGCUCAAUGCCAUAAUGAAACGCGUGGAGCAGCGCCAAGAGAAGUAAGUAGAAUAUUUUGAGCAAAUAGAGUAACGCCAAGAGAAGAAGGAAAGAUACAUUGAGAGGCUCGGUGACUUGUACGAGAACUUGUAUGAGCAGCAAAUCAACUUCAAUAAGCAAUACAACGAUAGGAUGACCAACAUGGAAACUCAGCUUUAGUAUCUCUAGUUCACAACUCAUCCUCCAGCUGAUUUUCCUCUUCCUCCUCCUCCUACACCAUUCGAUGCCCCUAGCUCUUCAUACCGGCCUUCUUGACCUGGACCUAUUGAUGAUUCCCUGAAGGGGGAGAAGAUUUUAGUUUUUUGAUUUAAUUUUUUUAAACAAAUUUCUGAUCAUUUAAAAUUUUUGUUUUAAAAGAAUGUGGUUUGUUUUUUAAUCUAUCUUAGUGUUUGAUAUGCUCCUUUUACAUGCCAUGUUGCUGUGAGUGUGGAUACAUAUGCCAUGUUGCCAUUCUUCUUAAUAUGCUUACUAAGUAUCCCUUGAUUCUAUGUUUAUAUAAUAAGCUUAAAAUAUUAAAACAUAAGAACAAGUUAAACAAGCACAAAGAUAGGGGAUGUUUGAAUAAAGGGGAGCAUGUAAAUUUUAAAACAAGAAUAUGAUUUUCAAAAAUAGUUGUGUCAUCAUAAAAAAUGGGGAGCUUGUUGAAAUAAAGGUUUAUUUGAGUUUUGAUGAUUACAAAUGUUUAACAAUAAGUCAAGUCUAAAAAUCACAUUAAACAACUUAGAAAUACAAGGACCAAAAAUAGUGGUCUUGAAAACAAUCCUACAUAUGAAUAAAAAAAGAUGUUAAGCUCUUUACAAGUCACGUUAAAUAUCAUUGUGCAUAUAAAAGAGGUAGAAAAGAUAAACCAACUCUUAAACUCAAAAUGGAUAGUUAACAAACUUAACUGAUAAAAAGACAAAACACAAAUUGCUACUGUCACAAGUUCGGACCGAACUUGUAUACCGAAGGUUAAAUGAAGCACAAUUGAACUUCAUCAAGUCAUCUAUUAACAGAUAUGAUCACUAGAAAAUCGUUAAACUACGACCGAAGUUCACAUUCAGUCAACCGAAGGCAAAAGAUGCACAACCAAUGUUGAAAUAGAGAACAAGGAUACUCACUGGGAUAACAGUUAAGACACGACUAUAGUUUACAUUCGGUCGACCGAAGUGUCGUCCAAAGUAUGUAAAGCCAAAAUAGAGCAACAUAAGUGAUCUCUAUAAUUACAGAAUAAUGUCGAUGAAAAUAAAAAAGCCCUCGAUCAAAGUUUUAAAUUCAUCAGCCAACAGAGUAUGCAAGUCACUGAAAUUUUAGUUCAAACUCGAUCAAAGUUCAAGUCAGUCGACUAAAGUUUUUGAUCGAAAUUUGAAAAGUUGAUCCUACACAUCCAAAUCAACAUCCAACAACUAAGACUCAAUUAGAACGGCUAGAUUAAAAGCAUUUUUGCUGCAAUAACUAUAAUCGACUUUUGACGAGGGGGGGGGGGAGGAGUGGGUGGGUUGGAGAGGGAGGGAAGGGAAAGAAGUGAAUA
rnacentral:lncRNA from 1 species